rnacentral:lncRNA from 1 species
CAAAAUACAUGGUUUGACCAAUAGAUGGUAGUUAUGGAAAUGCAGUUUUAAUUUCAAUUCAGUUUUAAAGUAUUAUGUUUUAUUUUUUAGAUUUGAUAACAUAGCAAUUAUUAGACUGAACAUAUGUCAAUUGGUCAUACUUGUGUUUUAAUAGAAUAGAUUCUAGUAGUUGCUAUAUUACGGUGCACUUAAAGAUCGUGUUAAUCUAUAGAUCGAACGGUCAUUAUCUCGUUUUGUAAUAUCGUAAUUUACAUAUAUUUCCUUCUAAUACUUAUCACCAUAUUUAUUUAAAUAUGUACUAGAUUUUCACCCGCCCUUUGAAAGGGCGGGUACAUUUUUUGUUUUAAUUUAAUUUUUAUAUUAGUGUUUCUUUUUGUAGUUAUAUUUGUGUUUUUUUUUUGUAAUCAUAUGUAUAAAUCUUAAUCAAAAUCUAUUUUAUAAAAUAAUAGUAGCUAAAAAGUUAUAUGUUCGGUUCUUUGUAAUUAUAUGUAUGUAUACAUGUUUCUUUGUAAUCAUAUUUGUAUGUUCUACAUUUAUUUUUUUAUUUUUUAUGUUUCUAUAACUUUUAAAUUGCUAUUAUUUUAUAAAAUAUAAUAGAUUUUGAUUAAGAUUUAUACAUAUAUAUGAUUAAAAAAUAUAAAUAUGAUUACAAAAGAAAUUAUAAAAAUUAAAUUUCUAAAAGAAGUUAACAUAAAAUAUACUUACUCUUUAAAAU